rnacentral:pre_miRNA from 10 species
CUGGGGUGGCCGAGUGUAACAGCAACUCCAUGUGGACCGUGUCCAAGCCCAGUGGAGAUGCUGUUACUCUCGGCGGCUUCCAG